rnacentral:rRNA from 1 species
AAAGCCUCUAGCGAGGUGAGAGGUGCCCGUACCGCAAACCGACACAGGUAGGCGAGGAGAGAAUCCUAAGGUGAUCGAGAGAACUCUCGUUAAGGAACUCGGCAAAUGACCCCGUAACUUCGGGAGAAGGGGUGCUCUGUUAGGGUGCAAGCCCGAGAGAGCCGCAGUGAAUAGGCCCAGGCGACUGUUUAGCAAAACACAGGUCUCUGCGAAGCCGCAAGGCGAAGUAU